AACGAACGCUGGCGGCAUGCCUAACACAUGCAAGUCGAACGAGACCUUCGGGUCUAGUGGCGCACGGGUGCGUAACGCGUGGGAACCUGCCCUUAGGUUCGGAAUAACUCCCCGAAAGGGGUGCUAAUACCGGAUAAUGUCUUCGGACCAAAGAUUUAUCGCCUUUGGCUGGGCCCGCGUUGGAUUAGCUAGUUGGUAGGGUAAAAGCCUACCAAGGCGACGAUCCAUAGCUGGUCUGAGAGGAUGAUCAGCCACACUGGGACUGAGACACGGCCCAGACUCCUACGGGAGGCGGCAGUGGGGAAUAUUGGACGAUGGGGGAAAGCCUGAUCAAGCAAUGCCGGGUGAGUGAUGAAGGCCUUAGGGUUGUAAAGCUCUUUUACCCGGGAUGAUAAUGACAGUACCGGGAGAAUAAGCUCCGGCUAACUCCGUG
rnacentral:rRNA from 1 species